UCCGGCGGUUACGGCUUGGAAGGAAACACCUGAACCCGUUCCGAACUCAGAAGUUAAGCUCCCAAGCGCCGAUGGUACUGCGGCGGCGACGCCGUGGGAGAGUAGGUUGCUGCCGGGC
rnacentral:rRNA from 1 species